UACGUAGGGUGCGAGCGUUGCCCGGAUUUAUUGGGCGUAAAGGGCGCGUAGGCGGCCACGCACGUCCGUUGUGAAAUCGCCCGGCUCAACUGGGCGGGGUCAGCGGAUACGGUGUGGCUCGAGCAAGCUAGGGGGCAAUGGAAUUCCCGGUGUAGUGGUGGAAUGCGUAGAUAUCGGGAGGAACACCAGUGGCGAAGGCGGUUACCUGGAGCUUUGCUGACGCUGAUGCGCGAAAGCGUGGGGAGCGAACAGG
rnacentral:rRNA from 1 species